UUUUUUUUUAAUUCAUUGACUUACAUGACAGAGUGACAAGGAGAGAGGUAGAGACAGAAACAGAAACCUUCCACCCUCUGGUUCACUCCCCAAAUUCCCAGAAGAGCUGAGGUUGGUUCAGCCCAAAGUCAGGAUCCCAGGACUCCAUCUGGUUCUCCCACAUGGGUGGCAGGUGAGCAGGUUCUUAGGCCAACAUCUGCCACCUUCCCAGGCACAUUAGCAGAGAGCUGGAUCAGAAGCAGAGAUGUGGUGACUUGAAUUGGCACUCUGAAGCCAACCCCUGCAAUUCUUUUCUGUUAUCCAUCUUUAAAUUAGAUGUGUUUUCCUGUAUUUUUAGUCAGAGAAGUAUUUUGUGUUUAAUAUUUCUGUAGGAGGUGGGGGCCAACGAGCAUAGCUGUCUCAUCUUCACUUCUGCAGUUCCUUUGCUGUUAUUACUACCAAGAAACCAAAACUAUGGCCUCCGUGUAUACCCACUCCCGCAGUCCUCGGUGGCUAAAACUGUUCUCUCCCUUGCUCUCAGUGAAGGAACACUUUCUGCCCCUUAGGAUGCGCUUACUUUCUGCUCCACUCCUAGCUGCCUUUCCAAUGAAAUGUAUUUCUGUCCAUACUGUAUGGAGUUUUCCAGGGUAUUUCCGAAGUCCUUAAGGAAUGAGGCUGCCUCAGGACUUGCUGAUCUUCCUAACCCCCCUCAGAAAAUUCUUCCUAACCCCCUCAGAGAGUUUGCGUGUACUCUUUUUUUUUUUUUUAAGAUUUUUAAAUUUAUUUGACAGGCAGAGUUACAGAGAGAAGUAGAGACAGAGAGAGAAGUCUUCUAUCCACUGGUUCACUCCCCAGAUGGCUGCAACAGCUGGAGCUGUGCCAAUCUGAAGCCAGGAGCCAGGAGCUUCUUCUGGGUCUCCCACAUGGGUGCAGAGGCCCAAGGCCUUGGGUCAUCUUCUACUGCUUUCCCAGGCCGUAGCAGAGAGCAGGAUGGAAAGAGGAGCAGCCGGGACUAGAACCGGCGCCCAUAUAGGAUGCCGGCGCUUCAGGCCAGGGCGUUAACCUGCUGAGCCAGUUUCGGCCCCUUGCACGCACUCUUUCUGCCAGCCACAUAUUGGAUCCGACUUCCAAUGUCACUGAUGCUUUCAGAUUUGCUUUCUGAGAAUUCUGCUCAGACUUAGGUCUCCUCUUGGAUCACUCAAGAAUUUGGGGAAAAUUUUCUGUGAUGGGGCUCUUUGGGCAUCAGAAUUCCCCUGUCACUUCCAUCUGCGACUCCUUCACAGCCUUUAAACCUCAAUUAGUUUUGCAGGAUCUUGCUUUUUUGAGACCGUGUUUCCUGACCCACUGGAGUCCUGGGUUUCAUGGGAUGUGUUCCCAGGUGUAUGUAUUCAGGAUGUCUCAUAUUUUUCUUCUUCCCUCCUACUUGCUCUCUCUCAUAUGAAGGCAUUUGAAGAUUCAAAAACUCCAUGGCUAUCUUGAUCUUGCUAGUUCUACCAGUGAGUAUCCCUUAUUCAAAACGCUUGUGACCUGAAGUAUUUCAGAUUUCAUUUUUCAAAAACUGUUUUUCUCAGAUUUUAUAAUAUUUGCCUAUAUAUAAUGAGAUAUCUUAGCUAUAAGAUCCAAAUCUAAACAUGAAAUUCACUUGUGUUUUAUAAAUGGCUCAUGCAGAUAUGAGCCUGAAUGUAACAUUUAUAAUAAUUUUGUCACUGAAACAAUGUUUGGGUACCUGAACUACAUUUUGACUGUAACCUUUCAAAUGAGAUCAGGGUGGAGUUUUCCAUUUAUGGCCAUAAUGUCAGCACACAAAAAGUUUCAGUUUUUCAGGAAUUUAGAUUCCUGAAAUAACAUGGUAAAGGUAAUUCCAAGAGAAUUCUAGAAAUUUGGGCUUAAAUAACUCAUUGAGAAAAGCGUUUUGGAAUUUAGCAAACACUGUGAUCAUUAUAUAUGUAUAUUCUACUAAGCAGUAUAUAAUUAUCUUGUUUUAUGUUCCUGUAGCAUUUUAUCUUAUUUUAGAAAUGUAAUUGUAAUGCAUUAUCUUCCUUCUUGUCUCUGUAUGUCUUCUAGUCACUAUAUUAUUUCUACUAACAAUCAGAACAUAUUUUAAAUCAAAACAGCUGCAUUAUUUUAAAUCUUUUACUUUGUCUUUGAAUGCUUUCUAUAACUUCUAUAUAUCAUAAAUAUCCCAGGGUAAGCCAAUCCUAGCACUGAGACCCUAAAGCCAUGUUGACUGGCGUUGUUAUAAAUCUAUAAUUUGUCCUGUCAAAUAUCUAUGAUCAUAGUUUUUCAGAGUCAUCUUAAAGCAAUGUAAACAUUUUCACAUGCUAGGUAACUUUUUGUCACCUUUUAUGAUUUUUAUGUAACUCUGUCUUGUCCACUGAUUUUGCAAUUUUUUCAAAUUGUGACUCUAGACAGUGAUAGAUAUCCUUUAUGAUUAUAAUGGUAUCAGGAUGUUCAUUUUCAACACUGUAUUUCAGAAGCAUUUACUAUAUUAUUGAUUACUUCAUCUGCAUUUUUUAUUUGAAAGAUGGAGUUAGACAGUGAGAGGGAGAGACUGAGAGAAAGGUCUUCCCUCCAUUGGUUCACCCCCCAAAAUGGCCGCUACAGCCGGUGCUGUGCCAAUCCGAAGCCAGGAGCCAGAUGCUUCCUCCUGGUCUCCCAUGGGGUGCAGGAGCCCAAGCACUUGGCCAUCCUCCACUGCCCUCCCUGGCCACAGCAGAGAGCUGGACUGGAAGAAGAGCAACCGGGACUAGCCCAUAUGGUAUGCCGGCACCUCAGGUGGAGGAUUAACCUAGUGAGCCAGGGCGCUGGCUCAUUUGUAUUUUAAAGACAGAGAGGGAAGAGUGAAAGGCAGAAUGAGUUCUUAUCUGCUGGUUCAUACUUCACAUCUGCAAUGGCCUGGGGCCAAAGUCAGGAGCCAGUACCUUAAUGCUAGUGUCCCACAUGGGUACAAGGGGCUUGACUGUUUUAAUCAUCACCAUUUCUUCCCAGUGACCACAUAGCAGGAAUCAGAAGGUGGAGGUGGGACUAGAACACAGGUACUUCUGGCACUGGCACAGAAUCCAAGUGCUCCCAUGUAGGACAAGAGCAUUCUAACCAGAGUCUUAUCCAGUGAGACAAAAACUCACUCUGUGUUUAUUUUUUGAAAUGUAAUUAUAAAGUUAUUUUUCAUUCAGUUUCCUUAUCCUGCUUUUCACUCCAGCUAAUCCAGAACCAGGGGCUUUUUCUGGGUCUCCCACAUGGGUGCAGGGGCCCAAGCACUUGGGUCAUCUUCUGCUACUUUCCCAGGCCAUUAGCAGGGAGCUGGAUCAGAAGUGGAGCAGCCAGGACUUGAACCAGCAUCCAUAUGGCCUAGAGUGUGAGACAGAAGUUUCGAAUUCCCUGAGAAGAGCAAGGAAUCUGUUGAGAUGAUAUAAAUAUCUUUCAUAUCUAAUGUGGUGGUGGUUAUAGGUAUUUGUAUCUGUCAAAAGUUAUCUCACUGUACUCUUCAGAUGGAAGCAGUUUAUAUAUAAACUUAACAACCUCUUUCCAGAGGGUUAACUCUGUUCAUCACUUUGUUGAUGUUUAUGACACUGAUGCUGUGUAUUUUAAUUUUAUAUAUCUAAUAACCUAAUGGCAUAUACCUAUUAUGUGAUAGGACCUAGUCAUUUAGAUUUACCCAAAUGCUUGAUUAGAAGAAACUCAUUUCUAUUGUCUCUCCUUCCUUCCCUUCAUUCCUUCUACUUCCUGGCUUUUGCUGUGGUGGUUGAAUUACCUCAAGUUUGUUUCUUUUACUUUCAGUUGUUACUCGACUCCCUGCAUCCUCCCUGAGGAAAGAUGGCUUUCCCUUGACCUUGAUGUGGAGUAAAGCCGAACCUAUUCCCAGAUGUUGGGGUCCACGCAUCAGGCAGCUGAAUAAAUGCCACCUCAAAGCCUUUACCUAUGAACUCUACCGAACAUUACAACAUCACAGAAUUCAGAACUCAUUUCAGGUCUUCCACACAGGUGGCAGGGACAACUAAUCGAGCCACCAUUACCUCUGCCUCACAGGGUGUGCACUAACAGGAAACUGAAAUCUGAAGUGGAGCUGGGACUCAAGUUCAGUCACUCUCACAUGGGAUGCAGGCAUCCUAAGCAGCGUCUUCACUGCUGUGCCAAAUGCUCACUUCUGGAAUAAAGUUUUUGAAGCACUAUCUUAACAGUCAAAUGGAGCCACAGAAGCCACUGCCUACCAAUGGAAUCUUGAGCAAGAACAAUGCUGGAGGAGGCAUCUCCAGGGAGAGGACAGACACAGGUUCAAGAAGUCCAUUCUGCAGGUGGCUGAAUAUGUGCCCUUUGUAUGAACGUUGCCUUAGAGUUACAGAGAGAGGUAGAGACAGAGAGAGAGGUCUUCCAUCUGAUGGUUCACUCCCCAGAGGGCCACAACAGCCGGAGCUGAGCUGAUUCAAAGCCAGGAGUCAGAGCUUCUUCCAGGUCUCCCACCUACGAGUGGCAGCAGAAUACUAUGUCCCUGUAUACCAAAACAAGACAGCCUGGAGCGCCAGCCCCUGCAGUGGCGCCUUCCCAAAGCCUCAGUGCCACGCAAGGAACAUCUUGAGUUUGUCUCAGUUGUUGGGCUCAUUUUACAAACUAUAGCUAGGGUCUGCGUUGGCUGGAAGCUGGAGUGAGGAGCAGAGCCAGGAAUUGAACCCAAGCAUUCUGAUGUGGUGUGAAACUGGUGACAGG